GCAGGCCUGUGCAUCUCCUCUGCCUACUUGGACCAGAACUGCCAGGAAGACCUGUAGGUAUCUUCCAGAUGCCCUGGCCUAGCAACUUCAGGUGGGCCUACAGGUGUCAUCUACUGUUCCUGGCCCAGCAUUACUGGGUGACCCAUAAUUCUCCACCUACUAGAGCCUAAUGGCACCAGGUCCGCCUGUGGGUGUCCUCUACCAGCCCAAGGCCAUCAGCUUCGAAUAGGGAUAUUCUACUUGCCUCAUCCCAGAAGUGCUACAUAGGCCCAUCAAUAGGUUUUCCCAACCUGGGAGGGCAGUGGGUGUCUACCUGAAGGGACCAGAACUUCACCAAGGCCCCUGUUUCAGAAGCCAUGACAGGUUGCAGAAAAC
rnacentral:lncRNA from 1 species